CUUGGCUGGUUGAGCUCGUGUCGUGAGAUGUUGGGUUAAGUCCCGCAACGAGCGCAACCCUUUUCCUUAUUUGCCAGCGGGUUAAGCCGGGAACUUUAAGGAUACUGCCAGUGACAAACUGGAGGAAGGCGGGGACGACGUCAAGUCAUCAUGGCCCUUACGACCAGGGCUACACACGUGCUACAAUGGUCGGUACAAAGGGUUGCUACCUAGCGAUAGGAUGCUAAUCUCAAAAAGCCGAUCGUAGUCCGGAUUGGAGUCUGCAACUCGACUCCAUGAAGUCGGAAUCGCUAGUAAUCGCGGAUCAGAAUGCCGCGGUGAAUACGUUCCCGGGCCUUGUACACACCGCCCGUCACACCAUGGGAAUUUGUUGCACCAGAAGUAGGUAGUCUAACCGCAAGGAGGACGCUUACUUCUAU
rnacentral:rRNA from 1 species